CGCAUAAUGAAUCGCUUGUUACAUGAGAGACCUUGGUCGUUUCGAUUUGGACAAUACUAUCUACACGUAGAAAGAAUUUGGUAGGAGAGGGAGAGCGAGAGAGAGAGAGAUGGUGUUCAACAGCCCGCUGGUGGUGGAGGUAGCAAAUAUAUCGGCGAAUGUGUGCCAAUACAUAGCGUGUAACCCAGAGAGGCUGAGCAGCGAUCACGUGCUCCGUCUCCUCUUCUGCUUCCCUCUCCAACAGUUUCGCCGCCUCCUGCUCCGUCUCUCCGCCUUUUUCUGCUUCCCUCCUCCCGACCCACACCUCUCCUCCUUUUCCUCCUCCUCUUCUUCCUCCUCCUCCGAUCCAUCCGAUUCCGAUAACGAUCCCCACUCCGAUUGAUUGAUUCAUCACGACAAAUGCAUAGGCACGCGCUCUGUAUAUUUGCUAUGUCUUCCAAGUGAUUAAGAAGCUCAUGGUACUUACAGUCAGCAUCAGCACGCAAAUUAAAGUCACAUUGCCCACAAGUGGGAACGUUUCUUGCCCAAGUGCUUGAGCGUGGCUGUGGACUGUGGGGAGGUAGUGUUACAUUCACAGAAAAAUUUUGUUGUUGCAACUUUUCUAUGUAAUUGUAAAUGUGUUUGUGGAAGAAAAAUUCCAGGCCAUUGACCCCAAAAAUUCGUGGUCAACAAUCAAUGUGUUUGUGAAGUUCAAAAAGAAUACCAUUACCUUUGUUGCAGCUUUGGACAAAA